UACGGAGGGUGCAAGCGUUAUCCGGAUUUACUGGGUUUAAAGGGUGCGUAGGUGGAUUGGUAAGUCAGUGGUGAAAGCCUCCAGCUCAACUGGAGAACUGCCAUUGAUACUGCAAGGCUUGAGUACAGACGAGGUUGGCGGAAUUGAUUGUGUAGCGGUGAAAUGCAUAGAUACAAUCAAGAACUCCGAUUGCGUAGGCAGCUAACUAGGCUGUAACUGACGCUGAGGCACGAAAGCGUGGGGAGCGAACAGG
rnacentral:rRNA from 1 species